rnacentral:misc_RNA from 1 species
CGCACAUUGCGCCCACUGGUAUUCCGGUGGGCAUGCCUGUUCGAGCGUCAUUAUCCCCCCUCAAACCUCCGUGUUUGGUGUUGGACCGGGUCGUUUGGAGACGAACGACCGGCCCUAAAGACAAUGACGGCGUCCGUGGGACCCUCGGUGCAACGAGCUUUUCUAAGCACGCGUCGAGUUUCAAGGUCCCUCCGGGCCGGUCACCCCUUGUAUUUUUCUAAGGUUGACCUCGGAUCAGGUAGGAAUACCCGCUGAACUUAA